AGAGCGAACGCUGGCGGCAGGCUUAACACAUGCAAGUCGAGCGCCCCGCAAGGGGAGCGGCAGACGGGAGAGUAACACGUGGGAACGUACCUUUCGGUUCGGAACAACCCAGGGAAACUUGGGCUAAUACCGGAUACGUCCGUAAGGAGAAAGAUUUAUCGCCGAAAGAUCGGCCCGCGUCUGAUUAGCUAGUUGGUGAGGUAACGGCUCACCAAGGCGACGAUCAGUAGCUGGUCUGAGAGGAUGAUCAGCCUCACUGGGACUGAGACACGGCCCAGACUCCUACGGGAGGCAGCAGUGGGGAAUCUUGGACAAUGGGGGAAACCCUGAUCCAGCCAUGCCGCGUGAGUGAUGAAGGCCCUAGGGUUGUAAAACUCUUUCGCGCACGACGAUAAUGACGGUAGUGCGAGAAGAAGCUCCGGCUAACUUCGCGCCAGCAGCCGC
rnacentral:rRNA from 1 species